CAGUUAAGAAUCAAGGGUUCUCCAAAUCCAAACAACAUGGACAGCAAGCCGGACGGUAAGCUAAUUAACCUCCACUUAUCAUAACAGUAUAUUGCGUGCAUGUAGAGUAGCUCUAUAUACAUCUUUUGACACGCCAUAUAUAUGCAGUGCCUCCACUGAAAACUAAUUCAGAUGACCGUCCAACGUAUGUUGCACCACCAGAUGUCUCAGCAUCGCCUUCUGACGAUGUGAUGCAUACUGAUGUGCCGACCGAAAAGUUCUGACGCCGGGAAGAAAGUUGUGACACCACAUAACGCACCUGCACAGCCGGCAGAGGAAUCUUCUACUGGUGCAGCAGCUAAAGCUACAAGUCAUUCCACACUGCCGCUGAAGGUAUCAAGCAGCACAAAACAAAACAACCCAACCUAGACAAGGUUCCAAAUUAUUCUCAGCGGUGAAUUCAGGAUUCACAUAUAUAUUUUAAUCCUCUCGUGUGGAUGGAUGAAGAAGAAGAACAAGGUGAUACGUAUACUGAAUACUCUAAUAGUGUGUAAGAAGUUAAGAGGUGGAACAGAAAUAUGUAUCAAUCUAUUGCAUGUUUAUAGUUUGUACUUCCUUUGGUGGAUUUGUUCACUGCCUUAAGUUGGUAUGUUGGUAUUGUAUUGAAUUCACAUGUACUAAUAAAUUUGGAUUGUACUGAGUU